rnacentral:lncRNA from 1 species
AAUGGGUUAAAUCUUUGCUGCUUCGUUUUAGAUUUCCUACGGUCUUCUGUUUGUAUACUGGUAGUUCUCUGCAUUGGGGAGUCUUUACAUCUUCUCAAUCAAUCAAUCAAUUCAGAGAAUGUGUGCACAUGCCCAUGCAUGCAUGCAGUCCACAGCAGUAUUUCAGGCAUCCUCCUCCAGCACCCUCUACCCUAUCCCCUCAAACCUGAGCCUGACAGCAGCCAGUCCCUCCCAGCGAUGUCUGUCUCCAGCCUCCACAGCACUGGGUUCCCAGGCAGGGUUGGUGGAGUUCGCUGCUUUGGAUGUGGGUUCAUGGAGUUUGGACUCUGCUGCAGACUCUUUCACAGCUUACACACUCACGGAGCCAUCUCUUCUGUCCAAAUACAGUUUUUGUAGCUCCCUUUCUUCCUGAAAUAAUACUUCAGAAUCAGUUUUUAAAAUUCCUCCUCCUAUUACUGAAUAAAUGUAAUUUUGUCAUAUAUAAG